GACAUCCUUGUCUAGGAGAGCAUAGUAUUCAAUGAUCGUUUGGAGAGGGUACUGAUGCUGAAACCAUGACAAAUAAAUGCCGCAUCGUUGAGCAUGUGCUCGAUAGAUGCAAUUUUUGGGGAG